CAUCCUGGAAAGCACGUUGGAGUCAUUGGCUGUGGUCAUGAAAACAUUUGAAACAGUACACUACAUGCUAGAUGAAUUGUGCAUAUUCAGAACUCUGUGCAGUGAUCUGCCAGUAUUCAAGUAGAAGGGAUGUAAUGGAUAUUAGCACUUUUGAACUGUAGGAAUGGGAAGAGGAUGGAAUUACGAAAGUGAGAAACAUAAUGACAAAGAUUAACUGUGACCUUUAAGCCAUUGCCUGAAUAUAUUAAAAUGGGCCUUUUGCACCCCAAGAUAUGGCUGUACAGUUCAGACCAAGCAAGAUAUUACAAGUGCCAGAAGUUUGGCCAAACAUCUUGGGAUCUGUCCCUCAGGAGAGUGGAGUC